UUUUUUUUUCUCUUGGUUUGUGCCAACAGAUGGCAUAUCUCCUCAUUCUGCAUGGAUUUUGUCCACCUAACUCUCAGAGGGAAGUCUUCCAGCUUAACGGUCACUCCCACAUAUGGCUGACAGGGUCCCCAAGACUUGGUCCACAAUUGCAGUCAGUUCAUCCCAAAGCUCCUGGGUCCUUUGAGUCAUGUGCAUGCUUGGCCAGAGCUGGACCACCGCUCUCAGAGCCAGGACAACUAUGGUGGCCAUCGUGGGAAC
rnacentral:lncRNA from 1 species